rnacentral:rRNA from 1 species
CACGUAGGGUGCGAGCGUUGUCCGGAAUUAUUGGGCGUAAAGAGCUCGUAGGCGGUGUGUCGCGUCGGCCGUGAAAACCUGCAGCUUAACUGUGGGCUUGCGGUCGAUACGGGCAUCACUGGAGUUCGGCAGGGGAGACUAGAAUUCCUGGUGUAGCGGUGAAAUGCGCAGAUAUCAGGAGGAACACCGGUGGCGAAGGCGGGUCUCUGGGCCGAUACUGACGCUGAGGAGCGAAAGCGUGGGGAGCAAACAGG